CCCGCUCAGAAACUUAAAUGAAUUGACGGGGCCCGCACAAGCGGUGGAGCAUGUGGUUUAAUUCGAUGAUACGCGAGGAACCUUACCUGGGCUCAAAUGUAUGUUGACGUAUUCUGAAAGGGAUACUUCUUCGGACAAUAUACAAGGUGCUGCAUGGUUGUCGUCAGCUCGUGCCGUGAGGUGUCGGGUUAAGUCCCAUAACGAGCGCAACCCCUAUCAUUAGUUGCCAUCAGGUCAAGCUGGGGACUCUAAUGAAACUGCCUACGCAAGUAGUGAGGAAGGUGGGGAUGACGUCAAAUCAGCACGGCCCUUACGUCCAGGGCUACACACGUGCUACAAUGGCCGGUACAAAGGGCAGCUACCUGGUGACAGGAUGCUAAUCUCAAAAGCCGGUCUCAGUUCGGAUCGGAGUCUGCAACUCGACUGCAUGAAGUUGGAAUCGCUAGUAAUCGCGCAUCAGCAUGGCGCGGUGAAUACGUUCCCGGGCCUU
rnacentral:rRNA from 1 species